ACCAUACGGUACUGCAGAGGAUC
rnacentral:miRNA from 1 species